GAUGAACGCUGGCGGCGUGCCUAAUACAUGCAAGUCGAGCGAACAGAUGAGGAGCUUGCUCCUCUGACGUUAGCGGCGGACGGGUGAGUAACACGUGGAUAACCUACCUAUAAGACUGGGAUAACUUCGGGAAACCGGAGCUAAUACCGGAUAAUAUAUUGAACCGCAUGGUUCAAUAGUGAAAGACGGUUUUGCUGUCACUUAUAGAUGGAUCCGCGCCGCAUUAGCUAGUUGGUAAGGUAACGGCUUACCAAGGCAACGAUGCGUAGCCGACCUGAGAGGGUGGUCGGCCACCCGGGAACGGGGACACGGUCCAGAGGCCUACGGGAGGCAGCAGUAGGGAAUCUUCCGCAAUGGGCGAAAGCCUGACGGAGCAACGCCGAGUGAGUGAUGAAGGUCUUCGGAUCGUAAAACUCUGUUAUUAGGGAAGAACAAAUGUGUAAGUAACUAUGCACGUCUUGACGGUACCUAAUCAGAAAGCCACGGCUAACUACGUG
rnacentral:rRNA from 1 species